GCGGAUGUAGCUCAGCUGGCUAGAGCGUCUGCUUGCCAUGCAGAAGGUCGAGGGUUCGAAUCCCUUCAUCCGCUCCA
rnacentral:tRNA from 1 species